rnacentral:rRNA from 1 species
GACGAACGCUGGCGGCGUGCUUAACACAUGCAAGUCGAACGGUAAGGCCCUUCGGGGUACACGAGUGGCGAACGGGUGGGUAACACGUGGGUGAUCUGCCCUGCACUUCGGGAUAAGCCUGGGAAACUGGUCUAAUACCGGAUAGGACCACUGCCUGCAUGGGUGGUGGUGGAAAGCUUUUGCGGUGUGGGAUGGGCCCGCGGCCUAUCAGCUUGUUGGUGGGGUGAUGGCCUACCAAGGCGACGACGGGUAGCCGGCCUGAGAGGGUGACCGGCCACACUGGGACUGAGAUACGGCCCAGACUCCUACGGGAGGCAGCAGUGGGGAAUAUUGCACAAUGGGCGCAAGCCUGAUGCAGCGACGCCGCGUGAGGGAUGACGGCCUUCGGGUUGUAAACCUCUUUCAGCACCGACGAAGCGCAAGUGACGGUAGGUGCAGAAGAAGGACCGGCCAACUACGUGCCAGCCGCCGCAGUAA